UUUAACUGAGCGUUCAGUUACUUGACGUAGACCCGAAACCGGGCGACCUACCCAUGAGCAGGAUGAAGCGAAAGUAAAAUUUCGUGGAGGUCCGAACCCACGAGCGUUGAAAAGCUCGGGGAUGACUUGUGGGUAGCGGUGAAAUUCCAAUCGAGCCCGGAGAUAGCUGGUUCUCCCCGAAAUAGCUUUAGGGCUAGCCUCAAGGUGAGAGAUACGGAGGUAGAGCACUGAAUGUCCUAGGGGGUAUUGCACCUACCGAAGACUAUCAAACUCCGAAUGCCGUCAUCUUAUACUUGGGAGUCAGACUGUGGGUGAUAAGAUUCAUAGUCGAAAGGGCAACAGCCCAGAUCGUCAGCUAAGGUCCCUAAAUGUAAGUUAAGUGGUAAAGGAUGUGGGAUUGCACAGACAACCAGGAUGUUGGCUUAGAAGCAGCCACUCAUUCAAAGAGUGCGUAAUAGCUCACUGGUCGAGUGAUCCUGCGCCGAAGAUUUCCGGGGCUAAAACUUACUACCGACGCUACGGCAUCAGUAAUGAUGGGUAGGGGAGCUUCCCAUACGGGUUGAAGCAUGACCGUAAGGACAUGUGGACAGUAUGGGAGUGAGAAUGUUGGCAUGAGUAGCGAGAUGUGGGUGAGAAUCCCACAGGCCGUAAACCCAAGGUUUCCAGGGGAAGGUUCGUCCGCCCUGGGUUAGUCGGGACCUAAGCUGAGGCCGAAAGGCGUAGGUGAUGGACAACAGGUUGAUAUUCCUGUACUACCGAU
rnacentral:rRNA from 1 species